UGAACAUAGCCGAACAACACAGAGUCUAUAAGACUAAAAGAUUUUAAAGAUAUUAAAUUACUGAAUUUACCGACAUGGUCAAAAUUAUGUCGGUCAUCGUGAAGAAUUUCGGUAACGGUAAAUUUUCGGUAUAUCCGGCCAGCUCUAGGGCCUCCGCCCCUCCUUCCUGAGCCCUGCCUCAGGUGAGGGGAGUUUUGCCUGAUUACAGGUCGAAUGUCAGACGGGUGAAGCGGCCAGCUGUAAGCAAUCGUCAUCAGCCAGUUUAGAAGCCUAGCGGACACACCACCACGUCGCCCGAACAACUUGUCUGUUUUCCACGACCUGAUCAGCGUGCCCCUCGUCGGAUACUUCUGCCAACCUCAGCCUGUCAAACCCCCAGCUGACAGCUACACACGUGGCAUCCACAGUGCUCACCACGACCAUUCCGCCUCCUGCCUCGCUUGAAGCUCAAGACCCAAAUAAACGAGAAUUCUCCCUCUCACCGUGUUUUGUCACGUUGCCUGCGUUGGGAUCCCCCCCACCGGUUCCACCAUCCCUAACACUUUAUAGAUAUGGACGUAAAACAGUCUCGAUUCUUUGCUAAAAGUAAACUAUGAGGCUAGUCAGUUACGAAAAUUAGCCACCUC